CCUUUGACAACAGGUUGAUAUUCCUGUACCACUUAUUAAACUGAUGGAGUGACGGAGAAGGCUAAGUUGAGCGUGUGAUUGGAUUCACGUGUAAGCAGUGAGGUGGUCAUGUAGGCAAAUCCGCAUGGCAUAACAUUGAGCUGUGAUGCCGAAGCCGACUGGCGAAGUCAACUGACGUCACGCUUCCAAGAAAAGCUUCUAGGGUUAAUUUAAUAAGUGCCCGUACCGAUAACCGACACAGGUAGGCGAGGAGAGAAUCCUAAGAUGAGCGAGAGAACUCUUGUUAAGGAACUCGGCAAAAUGACCCCGUAACUUCGGGAGAAGGGGUGCUUGUGAAAGCAAGCCGCAGUGAAUAGGCCCAGGCGACUGUUUAUCAAAAACACAGGUCUCUGCUAAACCGCAAGGUGAUGUAUAGGGGCUGACGCCUGCCCGGUGCUGGAAGGUUAAGAGGAGAGGUUAGCGCAAGCGAAGCUUUGAAUUGAAGCCCCAGUAAACGGCGGCCGUAACAAUAACGGUCCUAAGGUAGCGAAAUUCCUUGUCGGGUAAGUUCCGACCCGCACGAAAGGCGUAACGAUCUGGGCGCUGUCUCAACAAGAGACUCGGUGAAAUCAUAGUACCUGUGAAGAUGCAGGUUACCCGCGACAGGACGGAAAGACCCCGUGGAGCUUUACUGUAGCUUGAUAUUGAGCACUGGUGGCACAUGUACAGGAUAGGUAGGAGACGAAGAAACCAGGACGCCAGUCUUGGUGGAGUCGCUGUUGGGAUACUACCCUUGUGUUACUGGGGUUCUAACCCGUGGCCCUCAUCGGGUCAGGGAACAGUGUCAGGUGGGCAGUUUGACUGGGGCGGUCGCCUCCCAAAGAGUAACGGAGGCGCCCAAAGGUUCCCUCAGAAUGGUUGGAAAUCAUUCGAAGAGUGUAAAGGCAGAAGGGAGCUUGACUGCGAGACCUACAAGUCGAGCAGGGACGAAAGUCGGGCUUAGUGAUCCGGCGGUACCGAAUGGAAGGGCCGUCGCUCAACGGAUAAAAGCUACCCUGCGGAUAACAGGCUGAUCUCCCCCAAGAGUUCACAUCGACGGGGAGGUUUGGCACCUCGAUGUCGGCUCAUCGCAUCCUGGGGCUGUAGUCGGUCCCAAGGGUUGAGCUGUUCGCCCAUUAAAGCGGUACGCGAGCUGGGUUCAGAACGUCGUGAGACAGUUCGGUCCCUAUCCGUCGUGGGCGUAGGAAAUUUGAGAGGAGCUGUCCUUAGUACGAGAGGACCGGGAUGGACACACCGCUGGUGUACCAGUUGUUCUGCCAGGAGCAUAGCUGGGUAGCUACGUGUGGACGGGAUAAACGCUGAAAGCAUCUAAGCGUGAAGCCCCCCUCAAGAUGAGAUUUCCCAUUCGAAAGAAGUAAGAUCCCUUGAAGGCGACGAGGUUGAUAGGUCAGGAGUGGAGGUGUGGUGACACAUGGAGCGGACUGAUACUAAUCGAUCGAGGACUUAACC
rnacentral:rRNA from 1 species